rnacentral:rRNA from 1 species
CCUACGGGGGGCAGCAGUGGGGAAUAUUGGGCAAUGGGCGCAAGCCUGACCCAGCAACGCCGCGUGAAGGAAGAAGGCUUUCGGGUUGUAAACUUCUUUUCUCAGGGACGAAGAAAGUGACGGUACCUGAGGAAUAAGCCACGGCUAACUACGUGCCAGCAGCCGCGGUAAUACGUAGGUGGCAAGCGUUAUCCGGAUUUAUUGGGUUUAAAGGGUGCGCAGGCGGCGUGUCAAGUCAGCGGUAAAAUGUCGGGGCUCAACCCCGGCCGGCCGUUGAAACUGGCGUGCUCGAGUUGGAGAGAAGU